CUGGCAGCUCUGCUAACACGGGAUAAACAGGCAAAACGUCGAUACGCUCGCAGCCCCUCUUUACGACGACUGUUUCAGCUCUAUUGAGCGCCUGUUCGCUAGAAAAUAGUGCUAUUUCUGAAGAAUUUUUGUAACAGAUUCACGAAGCUAAUUCAAAAUGGGUAACGAAAGCUCGCUGCCUAUGGAACUUUGUUCAAACUUUGAUGUAGAUGAAAUCCGAAGAUUGGGGAAAAGAUUUCGGAAAUUAGAUUUGGAUAACAGCGGAGCUCUUAGCAUUGAUGAAUUUAUGUCCUUACCCGAGUUACAACAGAAUCCAUUAGUACAACAAGUACUAAAUGUGUCAAAUUAAUGUGUC